UACAGAGGGUGCAAGCGUUAAUCGGAGUUACUGGGCGUAAAGGGCGCGUAGGCGGGUGAGUAAGUGAUAUGUGAAAUCCCUGGGCUUAACCUAGGAAUUGCAUGUUAGACUGCGCAUCUGGAGUACAGUAGAGGGUGGUGGAAUUUCCGGUGUAGCGGUGAAAUGCGUAGAGAUCGGAAGGAACAUCAGUGGCGAAGGCGACCACCUGGACUGUAACUGACGCUGAGGCGCGAAAGCGUGGGUAGCAAACAGG
rnacentral:rRNA from 1 species